GACGAACGCUGGCGGCGUGCUUAACACAUGCAAGUCGAACGGUGAAGCGCCUUCCUUUUUGGUGGGUGUGGAUGAGUGGCGAACGGGUGAGUAACACGUGAGUAACCUGCCCCCUUCUUCUGGAUAACCGCAUGAAGGUGUGGCUAAUACGGGAUAUUCUGGGUCUGUCGCAUGAUGGGUCUGGGAAAGAUAUUGUUUCGGUGGGGGAUGGGCUCGCGGCCUAUCAGCUUGUUGGUGGGGUGAUGGCCUACCAAGGCGGUGACGGGUAGCCGGCCUGAGAGGGUGGACGGUCACACUGGGACUGAGACACGGCCCAGACUCCUACGGGAGGCAGCAGUGGGGAAUAUUGCACAAUGGGCGCAAGCCUGAUGCAGCGACGCCGCGUGAGGGAUGGAGGCCUUCGGGUUGUGAACCUCUUUCGACAGUGAAGCAGGCCUGCCUCGUUUGUGGGUGGGUUGACGGUAGCUGGAUAAGAAGCGCCGGCUAACUACGUG
rnacentral:rRNA from 1 species